rnacentral:rRNA from 1 species
AUUGAACGCUGGCGGCAUGCCUUACACAUGCAAGUCGAACGGCAGCACGGGAGCAAUCCUGGUGGCGAGUGGCGAACGGGUGAGUAAUGUAUCGGAACGUACCUUUCAGUGGGGGAUAACGUAGCGAAAGUUACGCUAAUACCGCAUAUUCUGUGAGCAGGAAAGCAGGGGAUCGCAAGACCUUGCGCUGAUUGAGCGGCCGAUAUCAGAUUAGCUAGUUGGUGAGGUAAAGGCUCACCAAGGCGACGAUCUGUAGCGGGUCUGAGAGGAUGAUCCGCCACACUGGAACUGAGACACGGUCCAGACUCCUACGGGAGGCAGCAGUGGGGAAUUUUGGGCAAUGGGCGCAAGCCUGAUCCAGCCAUGCCGCGUGAGUGAAGAAGGCCUCGGUUGGUAAGUACGUCUUUCUACGUCCGGGAACGGAAAAC